GAUCACACAGAAAAUACGAGGGAAAAUUUCUUGUGCUGUUUUUCCAAACAAUGCCUGGGAGCUGGGACGGAUCGGGCCAUCAUAGCAACUACUGCGUACAGAGCACCAUGCUGGAUACUUAAGGAAUAUACACCAGCAGGAAAAGACAUGAUCCCUGCCCUUUUGGAUUUUACUGGUCAAACCGACCUGACAAUCAGUCUCAGAUGAACAACUAUAUAAAAGAAUAAAGAGUGAGAGAUACAAAAGAUUAAAAAAAAAGGAAGGUAAACAAGAAAAUAAGAAACCCAAAACAGAUUGGAUACGUGAAUUCUAAAUUAUACUCCGUCCUACUUAGACUGUAAGCCCCAUGUGGGACAGGCAAUGUGCUGAUUUAUCUCCCUCUAUACUGUAUGCUUGUUCUGGGCAGGGAAUGUGUCUGUUUAUUGUAAUAAUGUACUCUCCCAAGAGCUUAGUACAGUGCUUUGCACCUAGAAAGUGCUCAAUAAAUAUGACUGACAAUCUCACAUUUAUUCCUGUGGUUAGGACAAUGUUUGGAACACAAUAAACACUUAAACAAAAA